rnacentral:lncRNA from 1 species
CUAUGUCUGAAAAACUACUAUAAACAAAGUGCUGGAGAGAUUAAACAAAAAAAGUGCUUUCAAUAGAGAAACAAACACAGAGGGUUGGGAAAGAUCAGGAGAUAGCAAUGCGUGGUUUGAUUCCAGACCCUGAAUACUAGCAUGGGGAAACAGUUAUAUGAGGGGCGGGGAGAAAAGACAAAAUCCGAUGUGUGAAAGAGGAAGAAACACUCUGUGGUAGAGCAGCAAGCUGUAUGGGACUGUGUACACAUGGCCUCAGAAUGAAACAGAUGAAUGGCUGUGCUUGAAGCCACAAGGUCUGACCGCUGGAAAAACAUUUAUUAAAAAGCGUGGAUAUGAAGAAAUGCUACUAGAAGAGCUGCCUUCUUUUGAGAAAGAAGACAAAACAGUGGAUUUGCUGAGCGAAGCUUCGUCUUUAACAAAAUGGCGGCGGUGUGCACUGAAUCAUUACUCGAAAUUGUCAGUGUUUUUCCCACCACCACCUCNCGGGCACGCACACGCUACAUUAUUCGCGUUCUUGAUGGCUCUUCACAAACUCGAAAUAGAAAAUACAAGACAAAUGAGCCUCUCAGUGUAUUUUUCCCUGAAAGUAAAGAGGUGNAAUUAAUUGUAAAAACAUAAUAACAUCCCUUUGGAGAGGAUGGAAAAAGGCACUACAAAGACAAAAUAAGUUGUUUAAAGUGAGAGUACCACUGGUGGAGCAAUGGAAUAUAUCCAUACAGACUUUCUUUGGAAGUAAAGGAGUGCGAGUAAACGCAAGAUAUAUUUUUCUCAAACGUUACANUGCUCAGACUAUCCAAAGAACGCCGUAUUUUACCACACUGGAAGUUUUGAGAAAUUCUAGGAUCGUAUUUAUAUUUUAACUGUGCUUUAUCGAAGCCUCAAAUUUGGCACCAGAGUUCAAAUUAAUGCAACCUUAUGUCCCAGAAAAAAUCGCCGUUUUGAGUUGCGCUCAAGCGNCUUUUACUAACUGGCUGAAUCGACACUGCUUUCUUCUCAUUCUAUAUACAGACUACUACAUUUAUAUUGCCGUCUCAUUUUUUUUCAAGUAAANUUUAUUACCCAGCUGCCCCAACUUUCAGAACGUUCUGGCAGCAAGUCUGGCUGAGUUGCCCGAGUCUUUUUUUUCUCCUCCUCUGUGUUAACCUCCCCUAGUCUGACUGCACAUUGCGGUGCUGAAGGAAAAAACAAAAAACUUCACUAUGUAUCAAGUUUUGUCAGCACAACCUUGGGCUAGGAAUUUUUCCAUUUACCAUUUUUUCUACAGAACUGUGUCUUGAAGGAUUCAGAAAAAAACAUCUUUAAAGUCACCCCAAAAUGCAGCCUUACAUUAUCCCUAUUUGGUGUGCAGUUUAUCUGGCAGGUGCUUUGACUUUUACUUUCCUCAAGGAUACAAUACUUGAAAUAACAUACCUGAUAGUGAUAACAGAUUUUCUUUUUUGACAAAACACUGUUGUUAUUCAGUGUCAAUAGGUUGGGUUAGGCUAGUGGUGAUCAAAUGGACAAACUGCUUACUAUUUUGACUUAUCCUAUAGCUUUCAUUCUAUCUUUCAUCCUUCAAACCUACCAAGCAAAAUCAGCACUGGUUUUAGUCCUUUAUCCACUCAUCAGAUGCCAAAAGUAUGUGAAUUUCUUGUUGAUACCACUUCAAGUGAGCAAAAAGGUUUUAAAUAAAUAAUACAACUAUUUAAAAACA